ACAGUUACGAAACUUACCACCAAUGCACGAAAGCGAAUCGGAGAUGACAAAAUGCAGCAACAAAGAUUAAAGAAAGAAUGGACUAAUGGAGAAACUAAAGCAGAGAGAAGAGAAGAAAAAAUUCAACAAGCAGUCGGCAUCAAAGAAAAAGAAGAAAAUAAAAGUACGUUAGAGAGGAUUCAAGGGGAAUUUCGACAAGAGUGAAAGAAAAGAAAAACAAGACUAAAAAGGGAGAUUAAAGAAUUUCGGCAAUGUGUAAGGUGACACAUAAAAAAAUCAGGAUUUAGAAUUAAGGAGAGAGAAAAAAAAUUUUCCAAAAAGAGGAAAAAAAGAAAAAAUGAACUAAAUUAGAUAACCCCUCUAUCCCUCAAUCUGCUCCCACACUCUCCCACUAUAACUCAAACACCCCAAAACCGUCCACCACACUCUCUCCCUAUCCAAAAUCCCUUAAUUUUCUCUCAUCAC
rnacentral:lncRNA from 1 species